rnacentral:tRNA from 1 species
GCCUUGUUGGCUCAGUCAGUAGAGCAUGUGACUCUUGAUCUCAGGGUUGUGAGUUCGAGCCCUGUGUUAGGUG